rnacentral:lncRNA from 1 species
GGGACCGUCCAGGGGCUCCAAGACCAACAGGAGCAUGUGGUAGCCACGUCACAACCCAAGACCACGUGGCAUCAGGACAAGAAAGAUCUAUGUGGGCAGUGUUCGUCCUUAGGCUGCCUCAUCCGGAUAUUGAUUGACGGGAUCUCUCUCGGGCUCACCCUGCGCCUAUGGGACGUGUAUCUGGUAGAAGGCGAACAGGCGUUGAUGCCGAUAACAAGAAUCGCCUUUAAGGUUCAGCAGAAGCGCCUCACGAAGACGUCCGGGUGUGGCCCGUGGGCACGUUUUUGGAACCGGUUCGUUGAUACCUGGGCCAGGGAUGAUGACACUGUGCUCAAGCAUCUUAGGGCCUCUAUGAAGAAACUAACAAGAAAGCAGGGGGACCUGCCACCCCCAGGUGGGCUCCAGUGCCAUGUCCCCUCCCAUGUCCCCCUCUGGGGUAGUCAAUAGUAGGGGAGUGCCUGGGACCCGCAACCCUACUACCUGGGCCUUCCUCUUCACCUUUUCUUCCUCCUCUUCCUCCCGGACUCUAAGAAAGUACAGGAGGCCCACCGGUCCUCAGGGCAGGCGCUCAGUGCGUG